AUUGCAAUGUUAGGUGUUAGUGUUCAGGAAUUGUGUUUACUAGUUCUUAAAUGUUUUCAUUAAUAAGUAACAAUACUAAUACUGUGCAAAUUAGGUAGGAUACAAGUUACAUUGUCUCUCAGCUUCUUUCAAUGCUUCACCAGGGGCAAUAUCAGCCAAGACCAAGUUUUCGAGGAAACAAAUAUUCCAGGAGCUAUAGAUAUGCCCUUCAAGACAUGGACAAAUUUAGCUUGAAAGACAGUGGCCGUGGUGACAGUGAGGCAGGAGACAGUGAUUAUGAUUUGGGGCGAGAUUCUCCAAUAGAUAGGCUGCUGGGUGAAGGAUUCAGCGACCUGUUUCUCACAGAUGGAAGAAUUCCAGCAGCUAUGAGACUUUGCACGGAGGAGUGCAGGGUCCUGGGACACUCUGACCAGUGCUGGAUGCCACCACUGCCCUCACCGUCUUCUGAUUAUAGGAGUAACAUGUUCAUUCCAGGGGAAGAAUUCCCAACGCAACCCCAACAGCAGCAUCCACAUCAGAGUCUUGAGGAUGACGCUCAGCCUGCAGAUUCCGG
rnacentral:sRNA from 1 species